AGUGAACGCUGGCGGUAGGCCUAACACAUACAAGUCGAACGGCAGCACAGUAAGAGCUUGCUCUUACGGGUGGCGAGUGGCGGACGGGUGAGGAAUACAUCGGAAUCUACUUUUUCGUGGGGGAUAACGUAGGGAAACUUACGCUAAUACCGCAUACGACCUACGGGUGAAAGCAGGGGAUCUUCGGACCUUGCGCGAUUGAAUGAGCCGAUGUCGGAUUAGCUAGUUGGCGGGGUAAAGGCCCACCAAGGCGACGAUCCGUAGCUGGUCUGAGGGGAUGAUCAGCCACACUGGAACUGAGACACGGUCCAGACUCCUACGGGAGGCAGCAGUGGGGAAUAUUGGACAAUGGGCGCAAGCCUGAUCCAGCCAUACCGCGUGGGUGAAGAAGGCCUUCGGGUUGUAAAGCCCUUUUGUUGGGAAAGAAAAGCAGCGGGUUAAUACCCCGCUGUUCUGACGGUACCCAAAGAAUAAGCACCGGCUAACUUCGUG
rnacentral:rRNA from 1 species